AGGGGAAUCUUGCACAAUGGGGGCAACCCUGAUGCAGCGACGCCGCGUGAGCGAUGAAGCCCUUCGGGGCGUAAAGCUCUUUCGACCGGAACGAUAAUGACGGUACCGGGAGAAGAAGCUGCGGCUAACUACGUGCCAGCAGCCGCGGUAAUACGUAGGCAGCAAGCGUUGUUCGGAGUUACUGGGUGUAAAGCGUGCGCAGGCGGUUUUGUAAGACAGAUGUGAAAUCCCCGGGCUUAACCUGGGAACUGCGUUUGUGACUGCAAGGCUGGAGUACGGCAGAGGGGGGUGGAAUUCCACGUGUAGCAGUGAAAUGCGUAGAGAUGUGGAGGAACACCGAUGGCGAAGGCAGCCCCCUGGGCCUGUACUGACGCUCAUGCACGAAAGCGUGGGGAGCAAACA
rnacentral:rRNA from 1 species